GUUUCCGUAGGUGAACCUGCUGCUGGAUCAUUACCCAAGUGAUUCCUAUUCACCAGUUACCUGCUGUCCAGUUGAGUUCAAUGUGGGCAACACCACAUGCCUCCGUCUGCUGCUGACGGACACAGACCCUACGGAGAGGGCUGGCACAUUGACCAACACUGAACGGACGGCGGCCCCCGUGGGCACGAGUUUGGGGUGCUACAGAGUUGGUGGUUCGAUGGGUGAGCCGGUUGCUGCCGUCGGCUCACUGCACCAACGGAGGUAGCACGCUCACAGGGGGCACCCAACGGCUGUGCUGGCGUCUAUGCGUCGUUGAGCGGUUGUUGCGCCUUGCGUGGACAUACUGACGUGGUGAGUUGGUCGUACCUCCCACGUCGUACCUACGGUACCCAGCGGUAUGUCUGUGCUUGUGUGCUACGUCCGUGACCGUGAUGAGACGACGUGUUAGGGCCCGUGCCUGGCAAUUGGCAUGUGGUUUAAGACUCAAUGAGUGCCCGACAGGCACCGCCAGUGUUUUCUCAUUUUCAAAAAUUUUUUCUAUGCAGCAUUGUUGCUAAAUAUUCUAGUCUUAUCGGUGGAUCACUCGGCUCGUGGAUCGAUGAAGAACGCAGCCAACUGCGAUAAUUAGUGUGAACUGCAGAAACUUUGAACACAGAACUUUCGAAUGCACAUUGCGCCAUUGGAGUAAUAUCCUUUGGCACGCCUGGUUCAGGGUCGUAACCAAAAAAUGCACUGCAUGUGCGUGUUUUGACUGCUAAGAUCACGCCCGGUCGUGUUCUUGCAUAAAGCCAUUGCUACGCUGUGUAGCGUUGGACGUGCUGGUGCGGAAAUGUGUUGUUCCUUCCGUGCUUUACAGACCGUAAUUUAGGCACGUCCCUCGUUCACAUGCGAUAGCUAAAUGCCUCGCCAAUAGGCAUUUGUACUUGACUGCUUCGACCUGAACUCAGACGUGGGUACCCGCUGAACUUAAGCAUAU
rnacentral:rRNA from 1 species